AAGAGUAAUUAAUAUAAAAUAGAGCUGCUAACUCUUUUUUGAGCAUUGUAAUAUGUUCUACUCUUU
rnacentral:tRNA from 1 species